rnacentral:rRNA from 1 species
GACGAACGCUGGCGGCGUGCUUAACACAUGCAAGUCGAGCGGUAAGGCCCUUUCGGGGGUACACGAGCGGCGAACGGGUGAGUAACACGUGGGUGACCUGCCCUCAGCUCUGGGAUAAGCCUGGGAAACCGGGUCUAAUACUGGAUAUGACUCCAUGACGCAUGUUGUGGGGUGGAAAGCCUUGUGCGGCUGAGGAUGGGCCCGCGGCCUAUCAGCUUGUUGGUGGGGGUGANGGCCUACCAAGGCGACGACGGGUAGCCGGCCUGAGAGGGCGACCGGCCACACUGGGACUGAGACACGGCCCAGACUCCUACGGGAGGCAGCAGUGGGGAAUCUUGCGCAAUGGGCGAAAGCCUGACGCAGCGACGCCGCGUGA